GAAGCCUUCAGUAACUCCAGAACCAAAUGCAGCUCCUUACUGUGACGGCAAAAAUGGCAUCUUUUAAAUAAAGAGUUAUACAGGUGGGAUUCCUGUGAAGGGAAAGACAGUCAGAGUGAAUCUGAGCUCUGUUAAAAUCAUAAUGUUCGUGGAAGGACGACUCAGAGAGACGCCCACCAUCUGAUGGCUUUACAAUGUGACAAAAACCAGGACUGCUUCAGAUUUCAUGUGCAUUGCACCUUAAGAAGCGUGUGGGCCUUCUUCUAAAUGCUGUUCUGGCAUGAACAUACACUACCGUUCAUGGGUCCAUAGUACCAUCCGCUCCACCUCCACACCAGCUCUGUGAUGCCUGAAACCCCAGAGAGAGGAAAAUUCUAGGAAGCGUCGGGUGACACUGAGGUAAAGGAUCCAGGCGAGGUGGAGUGGGCGGGUUCAGGGUGUGUAAGAGCUCUUCCCCAGGGGGCUGUAGGCCCCUCCGCAGGGUUGACUUCCUUCCUGCAGGAAACCCCGCCCACUCCCUUCAUCCCCCGCCACUAACGAGCCCAGCAGACGCCGUACGAGCCGAAUGCACAAGCCCUGAGUCCUGUACUGCAGCGGUGUGACUUGAAAACAGAACCCUUCUGGGGACGCUGGAUAGGAUGUUGUCUGCAGCCCAGUUUCAGUGUUUCUCGGCUGUCAGAGCUCAAACGGAGCAGACAGGUGAGAGCUGCUGUGGCGCCAGGACUGGGCCGUGGCCCGCGGCCAGAAGACCCACUUUCCACAUUUAUCCUCCUGGCUCCAGGUUCUGCCACACCAACCAAUGAAAACAAGGGCUCGGCGUGAUGCAGCGGCCUGGAAAUCUCCACUGGGACGGGAUGGCACCACCGCUCCUAAUUAACUUUUAUUUAAAGGAUGGGAGAGGCAUUAAACUCCUCAUCACUGCCAAAAAGUGUUUUUUAUAACUUAUUUGGAAGUGGCUGUGACACAGUGGAAUUACUGUACAGUAAUGAAAAUCAAAUAAGUCAUAUGGUUCAUUUUAAGCACGAUCUGGAGUCAGCCAAUAUUAACUUUUUUAAAGAAUCGGCGCUGGUCCAGUUAGGCCAGUAUUUGAAGCAGCUCUUAUUUGUGAACACGUCUGCGUGUCAGAUUUAACUAGUUAUAAUGUUUCAUCAUUUUAAUUAUAAUCUUCUAUAAUUCUAGAUUGGAAAUUCAUGUUUAUGGAAACAACAAACAAAAUAUAAUGUGCCAUGAUAUUUGUUAUCAGCAUAAAAUAAAAAGAUUUUUCUAAAUAUUUUUAGGUGGUUGCUAUGUGCUUACUGAGGAGUUCUGACAAAAACUUUUAGUGCAUUGCCAUGCAGAUAUUCUGGGUGAUUGCUAGGGCAUUGUUAGGGCACUCUAGGUGGUUGCUAGGGUGUUCUGGGGGGGUUGCUAUGUAGUCACUAGUGUUCUGAGUAGAUGCUGUGUGGAUCCUGUGGCGUUAUGGUGAUUUCUUCCUGUCUAGCAUGAAAGAGUCCCCUUUUAAGUCUCUGUGAUAUUCUGAGUAAUUGCUAGGGCUUACUAGGUGGUUUCUAGGGUGUUCUGGGGGUUGCUAUGCAAUUACUAGGCGUUCUUGGUGCUUCGCCUACUAUCAUAUUGCUUAAAGAAUUAAGAUGGCAAUUUGGAUGGGAGAUGAAAUGCUUAGAUAGUUUUAUGCAUCAAGUAAUGGAUGUCUUGUUUAUUAUAAAUGAACGAAAUGUUGAAAAUCGAUUACUGAAUGAACUUUGACCUUUGUUUUUUGACUGCAUCAAGACAGCUGGAUCCACGAGAAUCACACCAUACUUUUUGCAUACAAUUUUUUUCUUGGAAACCGAAUGAGCUCCUCCCUAAUUCAUGGAAGGCCACAUGAGUUUAUCCCUUAAGUUCAUGAGUUUCUGCUCCGGUGAAUUCCCACAGGGUUAUCCCCCAUAUUUCAGAGAAGUCUGAUUCAUCUGUUUGUCUGAUCCCACAUAUGAUCUGAUGGCAAUGUGGGAUGAAAUGAGCUUUCUGAGACGUUGACCUCAAUCUUUCCGUCACACUGGAAAGGAAUGUGUGUUGGAGCAUGUAAGCCAAAGAUGUGGUCCGCUGGUGAAGCUCCUUGAUCUAUCAAAUAUAAGCCACCAAAGGGAGAAUCACGUUUUGGAGGAGCGUCUGGGAGUAUUUGGUAGAUGUGAUUUUAAUGAAGUCUUCUAGUCCGUGGCCAUCACAGCAGGCUCCAAGUGUAAUUGGAUUUGCCUCAUUGAGUUCCAGCUUGUUAUGGCCAGAGACUCCCUAAAAGAUGCUGACGAGAGCAUUGAGCUCUUGUGUGAGUUAUAGAUCGCCCCAAACCUCGAAUGUACUCGUGAACCAACCAGGAUCCAUGUAAAACCAGGGUCAUUUGUAGCACUUUCUACAGUAUAUGUGCUUGGAUCCAAAGAAAAGAGUCGUGCGGUCAGGUCACCCACACUCUUGCAUCAUCUUGAGUUGCAGCUGAUUCAUUAUUUAUGCCCCAAAACCAUUUCAUACUGCCCUACCAGAGAGGGAAAAGAUGUGUCAAAAUCUGCUCUGCUGAGCCAGUGGCUCUGUAUGGAAGCACAUUUUUGCCUCAUAAGAAAAAAAUCAUGAUUUGGUAAAUCAUAAUUAUGACAUAAGUUAUAAUUGUGACACAAAAACAGAAAAUUAUGAGAUAUUUCAUAACUAUGAGAUAAAAAGCAAAAAUGGUCAUAAGUCAUAAUUAUAACAAAACAUCAAAGAUAUGAGAUAAAAAAAAAAGUCCAAAUGUGGAAAAAAAGUGGAAAUUAUGGUAUACUAAGUCACAAUUAUGAGAUAAAAAGCCAAAAUGGACAAUAAAAAUUAUGAGAUAAAAAGUCAAAAAAUGUGACAUAAAUGUAGAAAUUAUGGCAUACAAAGUCAUAAAUGUGACAUAAACAUGGAAAUUAUAGCAUACCAAGUCAUAAUUAUGAGAUAAAAGGCCAAAAUGAAAGCCCAUACCACAAAAAAGGUGAAAAUUAUGAGAUACUUCAUAACUAUGAGAUAAAAAGUCAUAAUUAUAACAAAAAGUCAAAAUUAUGAGAUAAAAAGUUGAAAUAGAGAGCAAAGUUUAUGCGAUGAAAAGUCAUAAAUAUCACAUAAAAAUGGAAAUGAUGGCAUACUAAGUCAUAAUUAUGAGAUAGAAAGCCAAAAUGGACAGUAAAAAUUAUGAGAUAAAAAGGCAGAAAUAUCACAUAAGCAUGGAAAUUAUGGCAUACUAAGUCUAAUUGUGAGAUAAAAAGCCAAAAUGAACAGUAAAAUUAUGAGAUAAAAAGUCAUAAAUGUGACAUAAAUGUGGAAAUUAUGGCAUACCAAGUCAUAAUUAUGACUCAAUAGUUUUUGAUGUCAUAAUUAUGAUUUUUUUUUUAUGUCAUUAUUAUUACUUUUUAAUCUCAGGAUCCAUGUAAAACCGGGGUCAGUUUUAGCACUUUCUACAGUAAAUGCAUGCGGUCAGCACCAGACGUGCGGUCAGGUCACCCAUGUCCAAUUUUCCCUUAUUAUUAUUUCUCUAAAAGUCACAUAGAAGUCUUAUCAGCAAAGUGUGACAUAUGCAACUUAUCCCAAAACUUUGGAUGGUGGACAAUCCCAAAGUCAUGUGGUCUCCUGUGACUUUGGGAUUGCUCUGUGACCAGUUUGAAAGCAUUCCCAUCCUUGAGAACCAAUUUAGACCUUUUGUUAAAGUUUUGCGUAAUAUAUUUUUUGAAUGUCACGUUCUAGAGUUCAAUAGCAGUAAUGCUGAAUCACUAGGGUGGUGCUGCCUUCCUGACUGCCUGUGAUGUACUUCCUCAGUGCAAAGCGUUCCUGCUUCCCAAGGUUGCCUUUCCUGCUUGACCUUUGGCUUUUGUUUGGCUUCCAUGAUGGGGUUUGUCACACCCUUCCAGGAACCCGACGGCGAGGCCUCCACCUAAAUAUGCACGUUUAAAUCUGUUUCAUGCAUUUCAUAAGCCAUCCUGGGUGUUGCGAAACAAUAGGGUGGUUUCCUGUAAUACGAUAAAGAUGAACAGGAGUAGUACAUGACUAAAGUUUUGGAAACUGCUGGAUCAUAAUUGGUGCCACACAAUAACAAAGUUUAAUUUUGUGAAGUUUCCUCUCAGAUACUCCAAGGCACGUCAGAUUUCCUUCCUUCCCACAAGCUUUGGCACAAAAGAGUUUUUGGGACAGCUUCCAGGGUCAAAAUGGUGACAGCAUAGGAUGUGACCACACAUCUGUGUCAUUGGCACGUUUUAUGUUCAUCUCGCACCACAGCUGGGCUCUAAAGAUCAGUUUCCAGGAGGGUCUGAUUCUUGACAAGAGUUUGAGAAACAUUAAAGCUAAUUAGGAUUUCUACAAUUGUGACUGUCAGACCUUGAACUCAUCAAAAACGUCACAAGGGAACAAUAUACAAGUCAUCUGAAUGCAUUGUGAACAGACUGUUUAUUGUUUCUUGCUUUUAUGUUACAGAAAAUGUCUUAUAUGAUCGUAGCAAGUGAUUAUCAUUGCAAUAUAGAGUCAUAUGAAUGCUGCAGCUGUUUUAUGUGACCUAGUUCUCCUGAGUAGCAGUCUGCGUUUCCCACUCAGUUUUACCACACAGACUGUGUGUCUUUGUCUGCAAACAUCACUAACAAGAUUUUUUAGGAUUUUGGCCUCAUCUUAGUUUGAUUUGACUCUUUAUUUAUGCCCCAAAACCAUAAUUUCAUACUGCCCUACCAGAGAGGGAAAAGAUGUGUCAAAAGCUGCUCUGUUGAACCCGUGGUCUGUACGGAAGCCCAUUUCUGCCACAUAAGAAACAAAAAUGCUUGAUAAAUCAAAAGUAUGAGGUCAAUUAUGAGAUAAUAAAUCAAAAUUGACAUGUUAAAAUUGAGAUAAAAAGUCAUGAUUGACAUUUCAUUCAUCAUCGACUAGUCAUAAUUUCAAUUUUUUAUGCCAUGAUUUUUCAUCUCAUAAUUUUGACUUUUUAUGUCAUAAUUGACUUAUCUCAUAAUUUCGACUUUGUAUAUUAUAGUUGUCUUAGUAUCUAAUAAUUUUGACUCUUCAUGCAAUAAUUAUUUUUUAUUGCAUAAUAUUCUUUUUAUCCCAUAAUUAUGACUUAGUAUCUCAUAAUUUUGAUUUUUUUUUUUUUUUUUUUGGUCACAAUUGAUUUUUUAAUCCCAUAAUGAGUAUGUACUGUAAUAAUUUAGAUUUUUCAUGACAUACUUUUCAUCUCAUAAUUUUGGCUUUGUUUAUCAUAAUUGUCUUAGUAAUUUUGACUAUUCAUGCCAUAAUUACUUUUCUUUUUAUCUCAUAAUAUUGUCUUUUUAUCCCAUAAUUAUGACUUGGGGUCUCAUAAUUUAGCUUUUUUUUGUCACAAUUGACUUUUUAUCUCAUAAUUUUAACUUUAUAUUUCAUAAUUUUGACUUAUCAUAAUUUUGACUUUUUAUCUCAUAAUUUAGACUUUCUAUUUCAUAAUUAUUACUUUUAACUCAUAAUUAUAUUUUUCUCAUAAUUUUGACUUUUUUCCUCAUAAUUACCACUUAGAAUGUCAUAAUUUUGACUUUGUAUUUUAUAAUUAUGACUUUUAUCCCAUAAUUAUGAAUUUUUAUCAUCAUUUUGACUUUUUAUUUCAUAAUUAUGAUUUAGCGUAUCAUAAUUUAAAUUUUUGUCAAUUUUGUCAUAAUUGACUUUUUAUCUCAUCAUUUUGACAUCUUAUCCCAUGAUUAUGACUUUUUUUGUAAUUUUCAUAAUUAUGAUUUACUCAUUUACAUGUUUUCUUAUGUAGCAGAAACAGGUUUCCAUAGGUCUUGCUUGAGGAAUACAGGUAUUUCAGAUCCAUUGUAAUCCUUUAUCUUGACACUAACUCGAACAGAAAGCCUAACCUGCGUCUUCCCAGAGUCUGCCCUGCACGCUAACUUAGAUAAGAUGCUAACGCUUACAACACAUAAAGGCUAUGCAUGAAUUUAGUAGCUACUGAGGGUCUGUGUGUCGUCUGUCAGUUUAACCUUCCAUAAUAUCACUCUUCUACAGGGAUAUGAUGACGUCUGUUUGAUAUCCUGAGAGCCAGCGUUAGCGUUGGCUGCAGUGUUGAGCUCUGGCUGUCCUCCAUGAAGCAGUGCAUCCCAAAAUGUCAUUAAUCGCAGUUCAAAUACAGCGUUCUGCUGCCUCAGCGCUUCUCUGCAGUCUCCGUUUCAGAUUUGCUUCUUUCUCCCUGGGCGAACAUCUGCAAUAAAUGAAAGCCUUUUAUCGUAUGUAUGUUGAAAAGGAAUAUGGAGGAAUAUGGUGGUGAAUUAGAAAAAAAUGUCCACCUACAUGAUGUGUCUGUUGGAUUGAAUAUCAGGGCUUCAGCCGUACACCACUGUGCUGGACGAGCAGUGUCCUGAUGGGGAAAGUAAUUCAAAACUAGCUAAUCACACCAGCAGGCGUGAUAGUGUGUGGAAAACCACCAGUCAACCUGGAUAAUCUGCUGCGUAAAGAAGUAGUUCAGUAUUCUGUCUUCAUUUACUAACCCUCAGGCUGUUUCAGAGUCUUGCUUGCUUUUGUGCAACAUGCUCUUUGCAACAAUAUGAAUGCAUGCAGUGACCUUAAAUUCUUAAAAAAAUUGGAAAUUGGGGGGGGUGGAAUAUCAGCCACGAUGCAGAAAAAAGUAAUUUAAUUAAAAAAUAUAAUAUAUAAUAGUAUAAUCUGAUAAAAUAAAAAAAAUAAAAAAAUAAAAAAUAGAAAAACAAUUAAAUGGGUUAAUUAUUUGUAUUGUAUUGUACUGUACUGUAUAAACUGUGGAAACAAAUGGUUAAUAAUUAUUGCAUAAAUAUUACUUGUUACCAUGAAAUUCCCUCUUAAUACAAAAUAUUAAAUGAUAUUGAUCCAAAAUAUAUAUUACAUUGAUUUAAAAAAAAAAAAAAAAAAAAUACAUUUGAGGAAAAAAGUUCGUCAAGACAAAUUUUGAUGUUGGCUUGGGAAAGCCUGAAGUAGUUUAAAAACUUGAAGAGAAGUUUUUCUGUUAGAAGUAGAUUAAAGUUUUGAAGGCUUUUUCAAUAUCAUACAGUCAUCAGAAAAACAGACUGAUAUUGGAUGGAUGGUUGCUAGGGUGUUGCUAUGCUGUUGCUAAGGUGUUCUGCGUGGUUGCUAGGAUGUUAUGCAUUUGCUAGGGUAUUUUGGGUGGUUGCCAUGAUGUUAUGCGGUUGCUAUGGCAUUCUGGGUGGUUGUUAGGGUGUUUCUAUGGGGUUGCUAGGGUAUUCUGGGUGGUUGCUAGGGUGUUGCUAUGCAGUUUUCUGUCAAAAAUUCAUUAAAGCUUAAACUAUUUCAAAAUGUAAACCUUCAAACUUAAAGCUGUUAAACUACUCCAAAGUUUCUGGUCAGGCUUUCUCAAGCCAACAUCAAGGUUUGUCUACAAACUUUGCUAUCUUUUUUAUCUAUUUUAUUUGAGGUGUUCAGGAGGAGUAUGAGUGUGACACCUAAAUGAGAAGGGCUGAACUAGGCCUGUCAGCAUGUGCCAUGGCACCAAACGACGUUGCUUCUUGCUCAUCUUAUUACCGAUUGUGACUUGCCCUGGUUGAGUAAUCAGAAGAAAAAUAUUCAAACAAAUAAAGACGUGAAUUUCGAUCAGUUCCGAAAAACAGCCGUCACCUCCAUAAGCCACUUUUUCCGUGACCCAACAACCUGAUGUUGAAAUAAACAACAGGGAAUAGGUUAAAAACAUUGCAGAGGUGAAUGUUUAAUUGUUGCAUAUUUAAGCGGUGAGCGUCAGGAAUGGUGAAGUGAGUGAUAUUGAACUGGUAAACAGGCUGAUGACUGGAAAACCAUGCGAUCUACCAUUUCCUACAGCAACAUCACGCCUAGAACCUCAUACAGGACUGAUUUGGAAUGAUUUACACAGGCAGCAGCUGCAAGAAUACCAUUUUUCACAUUGAGCAAAAGGAGAUUCAACUCACAAUUAAAUUGGUGUUAUUAUGUUGCCAAGCUAAAAAUGUGGAACAACCUGUUUGAUGGUUUAAAAUGCAGCUCAGUAGAGUUUGGAUCGGAUCCACAGAGCUUUUCCUCACCGCCCUUUUCCCAAAUGAAUGAUGCUCAGGGUGGAUGGAUGAGCGUUCGCCUCUUCCUACGGAUGAGAGGAGCAGCUGAGAGACUCUGUUAACCCUGUAAAGCUGGAAACAAUAGUCCAAAAAAUAAUUGAACUUUUAGACAAAAAAAAGUUUGCAUAUGUGCUUUAUGUUUUGUAUCAUAUUCUAUACAUCAGGCUUUUGCUCGGAUAGUCUGAUAUAGUGAGAAUAUUGAGCUCAGUUUUAUUCACAGGCUCAAACUGAGUAAAUAUAUGCAAUUUGGUGCAGAUGAUGAUAUUAAAUGCCAAAAAGUAAGAUGAAAUUCUGAUGCUUGUAAUGCAAAUAAAUGAGAGCAGUUGAAUAGCAGUCAGUCAUCACUCUUUAUCUGCCAAUAACAUGUCUUAUUAAGAUGAUAUUUAAAUGCUUAGUUUUAUGAUCAAAGCUCUGCAGUUUUAAAACAUAUAAAUCAAUGCAAUAAAUAAACCUUCAUGAUCAUUAUUUAAUACUCAUGAUGCAUAAAUAACCAAAUAAACCAAAGCUGCUUCAGUGUUAAAUCUGAUUUAGUGGCUUUAGGAAAUCACAUAUCAAAUAUGACACAGUAGGCUUUAUAGGGUUAAAAUGUGUUUCCCUUCUUUUACAGCCUUUAUUACAACUGUGAAUCUCAUCCCCAUUCACUUUACUGUAUCCUGCUUUUUGCAUCGGACUGGACAGUUUCCCGUUCUGUCACUCCACGUCAUGCUGCUCCUGUUCACUGGUCGGUCAGGGAAAGUUGAGGAACAGGGAUGUGAACGCGGGUUAUUCUGGAGCUGGAGCCACAGGCUUUUCCUUCCUGUGGUUUAACGGCCCACUGACCGGUGCCUGGCUUUCAUCUGCGCGGGUGAAUAUCUGACAUGGAUCCACCUGAGAUGUUGCACAAGCCUCAGGGAAGUCUAGGAAAAUCAGGCCGGAUGGAAGGAUACGCUCUGUGUGUGUGUGUGUGUGUGCACUGCACAAGAUUUUCCCUCAGUAUUUUUGUCUUGUUUUACAGUAUCCAAAUAUCUAAACAUUCUUAAAUCAAGGUGCAUUUACUGGAGAAGAAUAAAAGAUAAAUUGAGUUUUUUCUCCUAAAAGAAAGAAGUGAUUCUGAACUGAAACGAGUCGUCAGUAAUUCCAGUCUCACUUCCUGCUGAAACUGCAUAAGUUUGUAACUAAUUUGCAUAAUGGGCUUCAUUGGCUGAACAGCAUCUCUUUGCCCCGCCCUCAAUCACUGUAGUUGUAUCUGAGACUGGAAGAGUUUGGUUCGUGUUGUUCAUGUCGAGAAGACGCUGUUUUCUGCUGCCAAAGCAAAUCCACUUUGAUGAGAUUGAUACGGUAAAACCCACGCCAUCGUUACUGUUCGUAUCACUGUGAAUCAAGAGCUGAGAUUCAGAUAUGAUAAUGAGCGUUUGGUUUCCGACCAAUCACAGGGCCAUCUGACCAAUCAGAGCAGAGCAGCUCUUAUAAAGGCGGGGCUUAGAGAGGCCGAAUCUUUGAACGAACCGUUUCAGACACUGUGAGAAAAGAGCUGAUGCUGCAGUGGAUAUUAUGAGAAAAUGAAAGUGUUUUUGAUCUUGAAUGAAUGUAAAUCUAUUGUAGGAGACUCAAAACAACAUUAGGGGCACUUCAUGCUUAAAACAAGAACAAAUAUCAGAUAAUUAAUAUCACAAAUAAAAAAGUAUCUAAAGUUUCAAUGCAAAGACAUAUAUGAUUGUAUCUGCACAGCUCUAAAUGUCACAGAAAGUACGAAUGAACCGUGUCUGAUGUGUAAAGCAGCACAUGGUGAUUCAGUUCAACGGUCUUUGUGGCCUCAUAUACUUAUUCUGUUUAAAUCAGACGGAGCUGAAGGAGAUUGUUUACAGCUACUGCAUUACAGUCCUGCCAGUUAACCCACGGGAUAACCAUGAACACAUCGUCUGCUUUUUAUUUCCUGAAGGGCAUCAAAACAAAGAGCUUUUGCCACGCGCUGGUGCAAAUACUGCAGCCUGUGAUGCUGACGGAGGAAAACUGCUUUAAUACGAAACAAAAGGGCCAGACUGAUGAUAAUGCCAGACAGAAAUAGCCCUCUCUCUCUCUGAGGUUGGAAUCGGACAGAAAAUGACACAGUUUAUGCGAAGGUUUGUUUACAACAACAUUUUUGUUUCCUGUUGGGAUAAAGAUGCUUUAAUACGUGACUGUUUCAUAAAGGGGAAAAAAAAACAGAACAGUCAGUCGCGCCCUUUUGGAAACCAGUCAAAACACUUAUAUAAACUCUUAUUUGUGUGUCUUUCUUGUUUUAUUUUAAGAAUGAAUCAAACACAGUCCGUUGGUGUAGUUUUGACAGUGGCAGUAAAUGGAUCAUUUAUCAGUUGCUGACGCGUCAUAAAUGCAACAUGAAAAUACAAAUAUACUCAAAUGUUGUUGUUUUGUGCUAUACAGAUGAUUCCUCGUCAUAUUUCUUGAAACUUGAGGGUGGAGAACACCAUAGCAACUAUCUAGCAACACCCUGGCAACCAAUGAGUGCACCCUAGCAACAUGGCAGUGAGUUGUGCAACACCUGCAUUAAAGUUCAGAAGGGUUAAAUACAUGGGAUGUAAUGGGAAAAGGGAAGUAACAAAUUGAAUUAAACGUGAAAUUUUGAAUUAGAAAUAUCUGAAAAAGUAUUUUCUUGCAAAAAGUGUACCUUUAUAUAAUUACUUGUAAAUUAAAUAGUUUUGUAGUUUUCAUAAGCUUUAUGUAUCUGUUCCUAUUAUGUACGUACAGUGCUGGGAAGAUUACUUGCAAAUUAUAGCAAAGACUAUAGAAUAACGCAAGACGCGUCACUCGUAUUGUUUUGAAUGGGAGAAAGUGCAACGCGAAAUAUGGCGAAAUAAGCCCCGCCUUCUAAAUAAGAGCCAAUCAUCGAUUGGUAAAGUUAUCGCGUCACUGCAGCGGCCGUUAGAAGCUCCGGUUCCUAUAGAAACAGUGAGAUACGUGCUUAAGACUGCACAUGCGCAUUAGCUUCAUCCAGCCUGAAAUUUUUUUUUUUUUUGUCAUGAUUCGAGCGCUUAGAAACAAAAUUUACGUGACAGUUGUUGUCAGAUUUCAUUGGUGAUUUCAAAUAUGAAAUUUAAUCAAAAGCUUGGCAAACAGCUUUGGAGAAUUUGAUGUUUCUCCAUUCAAAGAGAUAAGAGCUGCACUUGCAUGACCGAGAGGCGUUUCUAAGAUGGCCGCCGACUGAAAUGACUUGUCUUAAAGGGACUUUGAUUAUAGUCCGUUACUAAAUACAAAUUACAUGGUGAAAAUUGUAGUUAGUAAUUUAAUCUCGAGUACUCAUUUUAGGUGAUGUAUUCUGACUACUUUUAGAUUACUUUUGACGUAAAUAUAUACUAUAUUUAAAAAUUAGAAAUUUUGAAGUAGAAAAAUCUGAAAUAAUUUUAGUAACGUAAUCUAGAUUACAUUUUAGGUAAUGUAUUCUGACUACUUUUAGAUUACUUUUGACAUAACUCGUUUAUCAUUUAGAUAUGAAUGGGACUAUUGAUAUAUAAAAAGAUAUAUAUUACUGACUUUGUUUGUAAUCAUGUAAUCCAUAAAGUAACUGCAAUCUGAUUUUUAAAAUGUAAUAUAAUCAAAUUACAAGUACUAAAUUUUUGUAAUCUGAUUACGUAAUCCAGAUUACAUGUAAUCAGUUAUGAACCAGCACUGAUUAUGUAUGACAAAGCAAAUUCAAAUACUUUUGGCAUCUGCAAAUAAGCCUAAAACCUGUCAAAGCAGCACUAACAUUUAUUUUAUAGUCGUCUGUUAUAAAGCGACUUGAGGUCAUAGUUACUACAAGACAUUCUGAGGUUUAUUAGUUAAUGCUAAAACACUUCAUAAUUGCUUAGUAAAAUGCCAAUAAAAAAACAAGAAAAUGAUAAAUAUGUGCAGGAGAGAUUUGAAACCCAGCUGGACUUAUUUGAUUAUAGUGAAAUAAUCAAUAUGUGAAAUGUAUAGUGCAAAUAUAGCCAAUGUUCUGCACGCUCCAGUAUUUAAUCUUGUGAAUUUUAGCACAAAUUGUGUGAGAAGAGAG